CACUUUACUUAGCUUUCUUUCGAAAAUGCGCAAUGUUAGAGGUUGCUGAAUCCUGUGGGCUCUAGGACCCAUGAGCCAGGAUUGAUAAGAGGCUGCAGCGGUUUCAUGUCCCCAGGAACAGCCAGAAGCAAAGCUGUAAUUCUAGUUUCGUAUGGAUGGAGAACAAGAGAGUCUAUGAAUCAACUGGAAUUCAGAGUUUUUGCUCAAAUGUCUGAUGGCAUCCACAAUUUCACAUUGCUAGAAAACUCAUCCCAUCUCAGCAGAGACCUUGGAAUGGAUCCUGAAUAAAAUCAUAGUACUGAAUUUCCCAUGCCUUGCUCAAAAAGCUUUUCUUCAUGUUGCAAUAUUCAGCAGAAAAGACAAGAUCCAAAGGAACAAACAACAAUGAGCUAAAAAGCACCGUAGAAACGCAGUCCUGUAGCGUUGAGCAAUUUAUCUGGAUGUACUCACAGUUCUGCCAGAAGUAUUUAAUGUUUUUUUUUCUUUUAACUGCAUCUGAAACUACAGCUGAAAAGAAUGUAUAAUAGAUUGUACUACAUACUUUCAUUUUAUUUUCCAUAAGGACAAAUUAUAAUAGCUUAGCUACAGUAGAACACAUAGGAGGUUGAUUUUUUUUUAAUUAAUUUCUGAUAUUUGGUAUUGCAUACUUAUAGCUUCUCAGUUUGUUUAAAUUAAAUAAUUUUAAUGCUGAACUCAGCAAAUAGAGUGCUAUUAACCAUGGGAAUAAAUAUUUGGAAGCUGAGGUUUUUAAAAUUGCA
ensembl:lncRNA